UGAAAAAUUAGCGGAUGACUUGUGGCUGGGGGUGAAAGGCCAAUCAAACCGGGAGAUAGCUGGUUCUCCCCGAAAGCUAUUUAGGUAGCGCCUCGUGAAUUCAUCUCCGGGGGUAGAGCACUGUUUCGGCAAGGGGGUCAUCCCGACUUACCAACCCGAUGCAAACUGCGAAUACCGGAGAAUGUUAUCACGGGAGACACACGGCGGGUGCUAACGUCCGUCGUGAAGAGGGAAACAACCCAGACCGCCAGCUAAGGUCCCAAAGUCAUGGUUAAGUGGGAAACGAUGUGGGAAGGCCCAGACAGCCAGGAUGUUGGCUUAGAAGCAGCCAUCAUUUAAAGAAAGCGUAAUAGCUCACUGGUCGAGUCGGCCUGCGCGGAAGAUGUAACGGGGCUAAACCAUGCACCGAAGCUGCGGCAGCGACGCUUAUGCGUUGUUGGGUAGGGGAGCGUUCUGUAAGCCUG
rnacentral:rRNA from 1 species